rnacentral:rRNA from 1 species
GAUGAACGCUGGCGGCGUGCUUAACACAUGCAAGUCGAACGGUGAAGGCGGAGCUUGCUCUGCUGGAUCAGUGGCGAACGGGUGAGUAACACGUGAGCAAUCUGCCCCUGACUCUGGGAUAAGCGCUGGAAACGGCGUCUAAUACUGGAUACGAGCUGCGAAGGCAUCUUCAGCAGCUGGAAAGAACUUCGGUCAGGGAUGAGCUCGCGGCCUAUCAGCUUGUUGGUGAGGUAACGGCUCACCAAGGCGUCGACGGGUAGCCGGCCUGAGAGGGUGACCGGCCACACUGGGACUGAGAGACGGCCCAGACGCCUACGGGAGGCAGCAGUGGGGAAUAUUGCACAAUGGGCGAAAGCCUGAUGCAGCAACGCCGCGUGAGGGACGACGGCCUUCGGGUUGUAAACCUCUUUUAGCAGGGAAGAAGCGAAAGUGACGGUACCUGCAGAAAAAGCGCCGGCUAACUACGUG